rnacentral:rRNA from 1 species
AUGGAGGAAGCACAUAGUCAAUUUAUUGAUACUUUGAUAGGGGGAAAGAGAGAGAAAAGAUAUGUUACCAAACUACCAAUGCGAUCAACGGCAACAAAAGCAUCACAGCACCUUUCUGAAUCUAACCAUUGCAAACGGGAAGUUUAUCCGAUGUGGAUUAUCAAUAACCGUGGGAAGACAGCAUCCUGGUUGAGCAAUAUGAGUGGUUUUUUGAAAGACAAGCAAUAUGAGUGGCGGGUAGUAAACAAAACGAUUGUAAAGAGAGCAACGCUGACUGUGCUUGUACCACAAAGCAACGGAAAUGAUUCCUGUCACAUCCCGGGGGCCAUGUAA